GACAGUUCUCGGGUGACGCACCCCAGAAUCAGGCUCCAUCCUCUCUGGUUCUGGGUGCGUCAUCGAGAACAGCC
rfam:Myotis davidii contig23134, whole genome shotgun sequence.